rnacentral:rRNA from 1 species
GGGUCAGUAGGUUGGUCGUGCCACCGGUACGUUCUGGUCUCACUGAUUCCUCCUUCCUGAAGAACCGUAAUGCCAUUAAUUCGGUGUUGCGGGGAAACAGGACUGUUACUUUGAAAAAAUUAGAGUGUUUAAAGCAAGCUAACGCUUGAAUACAUUAGCAUGGAAUAAUGAAAUAGGACGAUCGAUCCUAUUUUGUUGGUUUCUAGGAUUGACGUA